UUGUUAAUUGCUUUUUUCUCUUCUAGUUAUAUGGGGUUCGUGAUCAUAAUAUGAUGACAAUCCUAAUGCAUAAUAUUCUUUCGUAUUUUAUGCAGAGAGAGUGAAGGAUCAAGCACAUGCAUAAGAUAGAGCCUGCUGACAGAAGAUAGAGAGCAUAGCUGAACAU
rnacentral:pre_miRNA from 1 species